AAUCAAAUAUGUAAAAUAAUGACAAUAUUGAUUUUGAAAAAACCUCGCUUAAAGUUUACAUUAACCUGUUAGCGGUAAACCAGAAAACCAUGACAACCAAUUUUCAAACGGUCAAAUUGAAUCAAUUUUUUUGAUUUUUUGAUUCAAUCAUUUUUUAUUUUGAUUUUUAAUUCUAACGCUUUGUUUAUUUAAAUCAAUUUCAUUCGUUAAUUUAUCUUGUUGCACUUUACAUGAUCAUCAGUCGUAGGACUGGUUUUUCAACCGGUUUACUGGUUUGCGCUCAACUCAACAUUGUACUUCUGUAACCAAAGAAAACAUGGAGAAGAAACUUGGUUGAUUGGAUUGCUUGUGUUUAAAAAUCUUCAUUUCCUAAUUAAAUUCAGCUGAAUUUAUUUGCUUUCUCAAGAUCAUCAUUUACUCCUUUUUUAGUACAAACAUUAGUUGUCCAUCUUUGAUAAUCUUGCUGACUAUCUCUCAGUUCAUCGUGUUACAGAGAAAGCUUUACUUUUUCCUUCAAGAUUACUUUCAAUUUUAAAUUGAAAACAAAAUUAUAUAUGACAUCUUCAUGGCAUCUUCACCAUCAACUUUAUCAUCGUUCCAAUCACCAACAUGAUCAUUAACCUGUUAUUGGCAAUAUUUCAUUGGCGAAUAGAGAUAUCGAUGCUAACGAUGGAAUUGUGUAUAAUUAUCAGACUCAGUGAAAUCAUUCUAAUCAAGGCUGUUCACUCAAAUCCAAGGAUCUUCCGAGUUGUAUUUAUUUUGUAUACUCAUUCACGUUCCGUGGUCAUGUUUACAUCAAGGUGAUACAUUCCGUCGACCCAUCUAACACAGUUCAAUAAAUAACUGAUGUAUCAAGGAAAGGAAAAUCAUGACAAUAUUCAUCUUCUUCCUUGUGUAUUUUUUGCGAUAGACCGAUGGUUGAAUGGAGUGCAAGACUGUUGACGAUAACAAUUUACAUUAAACAAGCAAUCAAAACACUUUUACUGAAUUGAAACAGGCAACCUCCUAAUGUUUUACCAGAUGGAUUAAACGUUUUGAGGAAAUCAAGAUUACAUUUGAUUACACCACAAAAAUUGUUAAUAAUCAUGAAUGAUGAAUGAUUAGCACAAUAAACCUAGACAAAAGUGAAUUGAGAAAGUAAAUGCAAAAGUAGAGUCAAACAGCAUUCACUUCAGGCACUGAUUAAUUGACAGCAAAUGGACGGGAGAUAAACGGAUAACUGACGUUGAUUAAUGAAUAAUCAAGCAAAUUUAACAGUCCAAUGAUCAGAACAUUUCAAAUUAUUGAUUGAUUGGUCGUUAAAUAAAAGUAAUGGCCGAACAGCAUCGUCUAAAGUGCGACUAAAAUGGCGAGAUGAAGAGACAAGAUUAACCAAAAUGAUUGGACAAUCCGAUUAUUUGAUCAGAUUUUUCUUUAUUUUUCUCUCUUAAAUCUAACCUUAUAGCAGUCGAAAUUAAAUUAAAUGGUUUACUUGGACGGUUAAUGUUAAUGGUGAAGUCAAAGUAGAGUGAUAACUUGUUUCAGGUCAUUUGUUAUUUACUUUUGGGAUCACAACCAAGAGACAGCAUAAAACAAGAUGGUAACUUGCAAAAUGAUUCGGAGGCCACUUUUUAAUAUGAGCUGAUGUUAGGCUAGAUGAUGAUGACCCAUGGUUUUGUUUGGGUUAACUUUAAAAAAGUAUGGCCUUAAGGUUUAAAGGCUUUCGGUUGGUGCAACCUUUCUGACCAGAAAAUACAUUUACAGUUGAAAAAAUAAUGCAUUAUGAUAAGACCUAAAAACUGUAGACGUUUAUCCUUGGACAGAUUUAAAACCGACUCGACCACAUACUGUAUACCCAAACCCGUCCUUUUGGGUUCAAACAUGGAUCAACAAAGUCAUCUUGUUAUCUUCCUUCUCAUCUAACGUCUUCGUCUUCUUGGACUCUACUUGCCUUCAGAUUGUCUUUUGGCUUACAAUCAUACAAAAUCCUUGCUUUUGUAAAUUUACAUCAUCGCGUAAAUCAUCUUAUACCUUAACAACCUUUACUGUAUUUACAUCUCAUGUGAUUAUUUCAAUUCAUUUUUUUCUUCAUCUUCUUUUUUUCCUGUUUCAUUUCUUACAAAUUACUGCCAUCGACCUGAGUAAUUAACAAGUCAAUAAACUAUUCAGUUGAUGGUAAUUUCAAGCUGAUAAUUGUUUUUGGGUGAGAAGUAAAAAUGAAAGAUAAAAAAGCAUCAUUUUGAAUUGACAUCAUUUUGUCUUUUUUAUAUCCAUUCAUUUGUACACAUCAAUUUUUACAAGUUUACUGUUGAUGGUAAUAAUUACUUGAUUGUAAGAUUUUUAUUGCUAAAGUAAAGUCAACAAUUUAG